UUGGCCUACGGGACGCAGCAGUAGGGAAUCUUCCACGAUGGGCGAAAGCCUGAUGGAGCAACGCCGCGUGGGUGAAGAAGGUCUUCGGAUCGUAAAACCCUGUUGUUAGAGAAGAAAGUGCGUGAGAGUAACUGUUCACGUUUCGACGGUAUCUAACCAGAAAGCCACGGCUAACUAUGUGCCAGCAGCCGCGGUAAUACGUAGGUGGCAAGCGUUAUCCGGAUUUAUUGGGCGUAAAGGGAACGCAGGCGGGCUUUUAAGGCUGAUGGGAAGGCCUUCGGCUUAAACUGAGU
rnacentral:rRNA from 1 species